rnacentral:rRNA from 1 species
AGCAGUAGCCGCGGUAACACCGAGGGUGCGAGCGUUAAUCGGAUUUACUGGGCGUAAAGCGUGCGUAGGCGGCUUCUUAAGUCGGAUGUGAAAUCCCUGAGCUUAACUUGGGAAUUGCAUUCGAUACUGGGAAGCUAGAGUAUGGGAGAGGAUGGUAGAAUUCCAGGUGUAGCGGUGAAAUGCGUAGAGAUCUGGAGGAAUACCGAUGGCGAAGGCAGCCAUCUGGCCUAAUACUGACGCUGAGGUACGAAAGCAUGGGGAGCAAACAGGAUUAGAUACCCCUGUAGUCCCUGUCUCUUAUAC